rnacentral:rRNA from 1 species
GUGCCAGCCGCCGCGGUAAUACGUAGGCAGCAAGCGUUGUUCGGAAUUACUGGGCGUAAAGAGUGUGUAGGCGGUUCGCCAAGUCUGGCGUGAAAUCUCCCGGCUUAACUGGGAGGGUGCGCCGGAUACUGGCGGGCUGGAGUGCGGGAGAGGAGAGCGGAAUUCCUGGUGUAGCGGUGAAAUGCGUAGAUAUCAGGAGGAACACCUGCGGUGUAGACGGCUCUCUGGACCGCUACUGACGCUGAGACACGAAAGCGUGGGGAGCAAACAGGAUUAGAUACCCGUGUAGUCC